AACGAACGCUGGCGGCAUGCCUAACACAUGCAAGUCGAACGAGACCUCCGGGUCUUUUGGCGCACGGCUGCGUAACGCGUGGGAACCUUCCCUUGGGUUCGGAAUAACUCCCCGAAAGGGAUGCUAAUACCAGAUAAUGUCUUCGGACCAAAGAUUUAUCGCCUUUGGAUGGGCCCUCGUUGGAUUAGCUAGUUGGUAGGGUAAAAGCCUACCAAGGCGACGAUCCAUAGCUGGUCUGAGAGGAUGAUCAGCGACACUGGGACUGAGACACGGCCCAGACUCGUACGGGAGGGAGGAGUGGGGAAUAUUGGACAGUGGGGGAAAGACUGAUCCAGCAAUGACGGGUAAGUGCUGAAGGGCUUAGGGUUGUAAAGCUCUUUUACCCGGGAUGAUAAUGACAGUACCGGGAGAAUAAGCUCCGGCUAACUACGUG
rnacentral:rRNA from 1 species